UGCAAUGCAAACAACCCUCACCACCCCAUGCACCACCGCCUGGAACUUCUAAGAAGGAUGUCAUCAGGCCCCAGUACUGUGGCGGUGGACUUCUGGUCCGGAGAACUGUGGGAAAUGAGUUUCUAUUUUUAGCACCUGUCCUCUUCUGUUAUAGCAACAGAGACCAACCGAAACAGAGUUUCAACUAACGACCUUAUCUUCAAACUGGAAACAGAGUUUCAACAAACGACCGUGUCUUCAAACUGGAGGAAACAUGAACAGUAUAUGCUUUCCAGAGAUGUUGCUGUCAUCAAAAAUGGAGAAAGGAGAAAGAGAAGGACCUACUCCAGGCUGAAUGGGGCCAAGGAGGUGUGACAACUAAGUGUGCAUCGCUCCUAGAUCUGAGAGGCUUGUCCAUUUUAUGGCUGCUGAGAACUGACUGAUGACGCUCCCUUCCCUGUAGAUGCAUUAGACUCUCGUCAGAAAGGGUGCUGACUGGAGGGGCACCUCACCACGCAUGUCCUACGUCGUAAUUCUCAAUAGCUGCAGCCCCAGCCCCGCUCACUGCUUUCCGUAGUGUGGCCAUUCUGACUCUGUAGCUCCAGCGUAGGAAACAAAGUCUUGUCUGUGCAUGAAUCCAGCUGAACACAUCUGGUCCAUGUUGGUCAACUUGAAUAAAAGCCCUAGGCCUGCAUCACUGGCUUGUAACUCCGCUCAGUGGAAUACAUCUCAGCAAGUCUA